UUUCAUUCCUGUAGAGCUCUCAACUUGUGCUUCAAAUCAUAGUUUUGAUCUAUUAGUUUGUUUUCUUUGUUUUUCCACUAGAACAGCCUAAAGAGGUCUUUUACAAUUAGCCAUUACCCCAAUUUAAUUCUGCCCUCAUAAAUCUAGCAACUGGUGAAGGGACACUGAGAGCAAACCUCAUCGAAAAUAUCCAAGACUUUUUCUAGACUAUAGCAAG
rnacentral:misc_RNA from 1 species